rnacentral:tRNA from 2 species
CGGGGUGUAGCGUAGCCCGGUAUCGCGUUUGGUUUGGGACCAAAAGGUCGUCAGUUCGAAUCUGGCCACCCCGA